GGGGACAAGGACCAGAACGGAGUGAGUUGGUGUCCGGACUGCGUUCGAGCUGAACCAUUUAUACACGGGAGUCUGGACAAAACAAAAGGCCGCAGUAUUUUUUUCUGGUGUUAUGUUGGUGAAAGAGAUAAGUGGAAAAACCCAAGGAAUCAGUUUCGAGUAGAUCCCGUAUUUCAGUUAAAGUGUAUACCAACACUUAUCAAGAUCGGUACA
rnacentral:sRNA from 1 species